rnacentral:tRNA from 1 species
UCCCUGGAGGACUAGUGGUUAGGCCUCGGUGCUCUCACCGCCAUGGCCUGGGUUCGAUUCCCAGCCAGAGAA